rnacentral:rRNA from 1 species
AGAACGAACGCUGGCGGCAUGCCUAACACAUGCAAGUCGAACGAGACCUUCGGGUCUAGUGGCGCACGGGUGCGUAACGCGUGGGAAUCUGCCCUUGGGUUCGGAAUAACAGUUGGAAACGACUGCUAAUACCGGAUGAUGACGUAAGUCCAAAGAUUUAUCGCCCAAGGAUGGGCCCGCGUAGGAUUAGCUUGUUGGUGAGGUAAAAGCUCACCAAGGCGACGAUCCUUAGCUGGUCUGAGAGGAUGAUCAGCCACACUGGGACUGAGACACGGCCCAGACUCCUACGGGAGGCAGCAGUGGGGAAUAUUGGACAAUGGGCGAAAGCCUGAUCCAGCAAUGCCGCGUGAGUGAUGAAGGCCUUAGGGUUGUAAAGCUCUUUUACCCGCGAUGAUAAUGACAGUAGCGGGAGAAUAAGCUCCGGCUAACUCCGUGCCAGCAGCCGC